rnacentral:rRNA from 1 species
CCUACGGGUGGCAGCAGUGAGGAAUAUUGGUCAAUGGACGCAAGUCUGAACCAGCCAUGCCGCGUGCAGGAUGACGGCUCUAUGAGUUGUAAACUGCUUUUGUACGAGGGUAAACCCCGAUACGUGUAUCGGGUUGAAAGUAUCGUACGAAUAAGGAUCGGCUAACUCCGUGCCGGCAGCCGCGGUAAUACGGAGGAUCCGAGCGUUAUCCGGAUUUAUUGGGGUUAAAGGGUGCGUAGGCGGUUUGAUAAGUUAGAGGUGAAAUGUCGGGGCUCAACCCCGAAACUGCCUCUAAUACUGUUGGACUAGAGAAUAGUUGCGGUAGGCGGAAUGUAUGGUGUAGCGGUGAAAUGCUUAGAGAUCAUACAGAACACCGAUUGCGAAGGCAGCUUACUAAGCCAUAACUGACACUGAAGCACGAAAGCGUGGGGAUCAAACAGGAUUAGAUACCCUGGUAGUC